GACUAACGCUGGCGGUAUGCCUUAGACAUGCAAGUCGAACGAGUUUCCGGGCUUGCUCGGAAAUUAGUGGCGAACGGCUGAGUAACGCGUAGGUGACCUACCCCGUAGUGUGGAAUAACUGCCCGAGAGGGUAGCUAAUACCGCAUGUUGAGCCGACAUCAAUGUCGUCUCCAAAGCAGAAAUGCGCUAUGGGCGGGGCCUGCGUUCGAUUAGCUAGUUGGUGGGGUAAUGGCUCACCAAGGCGACGAUCGGUAGGUGGUCUGAGAGGACGAUCACCCAGACUGGGACUGAGACACGGCCCAGACUCCUACGGGAGGCAGCAGUCGGGAAUUUUGGACAAUGGGGGCAACCCUGAUCCAGCAAUGCCGCGUGCAGGAUGAAGGCCUUCGGGUUGUAAACUGCUUUUGUACGGAACGAAACGGCGAGCUCUAAUACAGUUUGCUAAUGACGGUACCGUAAGAAUAAGCACCGGCUAACUACGUGCCAGCAGCCGCGGUAA
rnacentral:rRNA from 1 species